GUGCCUACGUGGAAUCUCUAUUCUUUCUUAUCCCUAUUUUCAAUCACUCACACAGACUCACGGUUUCUCUGAGAAAGCAUGACCUGAGGCAAUAAAAAAAAUAACGUAAAAGCUCACGAUUCCGUCCGUUUCGUGUUCCACAGGUUCGUGGCUUGCGUUCCCACGAUUUCGUCCGUUUCUACUACUUCCCUACAUUUGAGUUGGAUUUUCUUGAAUUGAUAGGUUGGUUUCUCUCACCUCUCAAUGGAAAAUUUCAAGUAUGAAACACAACAGUAUCUCAGUCACCGUGUGAGUCUCGAUUUCUCUCACAUGAUCGAAUUAUCAUUUCUCCUUUCGUUUUUUUCUGUUAUGUAGUAGGAAACA